GUAAGGGCAUGUAGGCGGUCUGUUAGUCUGGUGUGAAAGAGGGGUAGGCCGCGGAAGUGCAUCAGAUACUGGCCGACUUGAGUAUGGGAGAGGAAAGUGGAAUUCCGAGUGUAGGAGUGAAAUCCGUAGAUAUUCGGAGGAACACCAGUGGCGAAGGCGGCUUUCUGGACCAAUACUGACGCUGAGAUGCGAAAGCGUGGGGAGCGAACAGGAUUAGAUACCCUGGUAGUCCACGCCGUAAACGAUGGGUACUAGAUGUUGCGGGUAAUCACUCCUGCAGUGUCGCAGCUAACGCAUUAAGUACCCCGCCUGGGGAUUACGGCCGCAAGGCUAAAACUCAAAAGAAUUGACGGGGGCCCGCACAAGCGGUGGAGCAUGUGGUUUAAUUCGACGCAACGCGAAGAACCUUACCUGGGCUUGACAUCCCGAUCGUACUCUAUGGAAAGAUAGAGGUCAGCUUGGCUGGAUCGGUGACAGGUGCUGCAUGGCUGUCGUCAGCUCGUGUCGUGAGAUGUUGGGUUAAGUCCCGCAACGAGCGCAACCCUUGUCCUUAGUUGCCAUCAUUAAGUUGGGCACUCUAGGGAAACUGCCGGUGUUAAACCGGAGGAAGGUGGGGAUGACGUCAAGUCCUCAUGGCCCUUAUGCCCAGGGCUACACACGUGCUACAAUGGCCGGUACAAAGGGCAGCGAUACCGCAAGGUGGAGCAAAUCCCAAAAAGCCGGUCUCAGUUCGGAUUGGAGUCUGCAAACUCGACUCCAUGAAGUUGGAAUCGCUAGUAAUCGCGUAUCAGCAUGACGCGGUGAAUACGUU
rnacentral:rRNA from 1 species